CCCACUUUGUUAUGAUCUCUUUCAUUUCAUAGAGAAAAUCUACCUGACCCUCUACAUCAUUUGAUCCGUUGACAUUUGUCAGUAACCAUUUGUCAAGUCUUUCCUCAUUAGCGAUGUCCAUUAUUGUGCUGAUGGAGUAUGCUCCCUCAUGGAACACUGAACCAUUUACCCUGAGGACUUCCACAUUAUAAUGAUCCCUUGAGCUGAAUCCACUACAUUUAUGCACCCCCA
rnacentral:lncRNA from 1 species